GGGAAGGUAGCUCAGUGGUAAAGCACUUGCCUUGCAUGCAUGAGGCCCUGGGUUCAAUUCCUCAGCACCA
rnacentral:tRNA from 1 species